UAGGCUCGUAGUUUAUAAAGAAUACCUGGUUUCGACCCAGUUGGAGGGGGUGACCCCCCGAGUUUAA
rnacentral:tRNA from 1 species